UGGUGGAGUGAUUUGUCUGGUUAAUUCCGUUAACGAACGAGACCUCGACCUGCUAAAUAGUUUGGCGAAUUCCCUGUGGAUUCGCGCAUAACUUCUUAGAGGGACUAUCGGUUCGCAGCCGGUGGAAGUUCGAGGCAAUAACA
rnacentral:rRNA from 1 species